GCACCUCUUCUGGAGUACACAUGGGGUGAAGAAAUCUAUCAGUUUUCUUAGGCAAGGAAUACUCAGAGUCAGACAAAGAACCCAUGCCAGCUGUAUCAUUGUUGUUUGAACUGAGCUUCACUUUGUUGGCCUCUAUCUGUUACAUUAUUAAUUCCUUCCAAGCAAGGACUCUGCACACCAAUAGCUUCACCUGAAUCAAAUGAAAAAUAGUAGGAGAGCUGGGUGUCAUCUGCAUACUGAUGACAUCAGACACCAAACUCCAGACCAACUCACCCAGUGGUUUCACCUGAGGACUGACCACAUAACACCUGUAUUGAAAAAUCUUCACUGGCUGCCGAUGCUUGGAUGCUUUUAAGAAAGCCAUUAAGAUGGAUCUCUUCCGGUGGGCCUUCCCACCAGAGGUGACAUGAGCAACAUAGUCAUCUUUUUCCCUAUUUCUGGCUAUAUAAGGUGCUCUGCAAUGGUGUCACUUUUUUGCAUGAAACAGGAGCUCUGAUGUGCAGAAUGGCAAGACUUUGCAUGAAACAGGUGUUAUAAGGAAUGAUCAGGUUUUGCAUGUAACAGGAGCUGUGGUUGACAGAUUGCUUGUGGUUUCUUUAAAAACUAUUAAAAUAAUGAUGUAACAAAUUAAGAGUUUUUCACAACUGA